GGUAAAGUCUGCUGCACCUUUAUCACUGCAGGCACUCGGUCAUGCUGUGGGCAAGCGCCUUAGACGUUUAUCGUCAAGGGUAUGAUGUGAGGGAGGGUUGAAUGCCC
rnacentral:ncRNA from 1 species